rnacentral:rRNA from 1 species
UACCCCACUAUGCUUAGUUAUAAACACGAUGCUACUUAAACAACAGCCUCCGCCAGAGGAUUACUAGCGAAAAGCUUGAAACUCAAAGGACUUGGCGGUGCUCCAUAUCGUCUUAGAGGAGCCUGUCCUAUAAUCGAUACCCCACGUUAAACCUCACCAUCUUUCGCUCUCAGCCUAUAUACCGCCGUCGUAAACUCACCCCACAAGGGCACAACAGUAAGUAUAACGGACCCCCCAAGAACGUCAGGUCAAGGUGUAGCUAAUAAGAUGGCAGAGAUGGGCUACAUUUUUUAAACUAAAACACAACGGCACGGAAUUAUGAAACAACCCCUUAAGGCGGAUUUAAUAGUAAGUCGGGCAAGAAAGCCCCCCUUAAACUCGCUCUGGAGCGCGCACACACCG